GAUGAACGCUGGCGGCGUGCCUAAUACAUGCAAGUCGAACGCACCAUUUCGGUGGUGAGUGGCGAACGGGUGAGUAACACGUAGGUAACCUGCCCUUAAGACGAGGAUAACCAAGGGAAACUUUGGCUAAAACUGGAUAGGAACAUUGGAGGCAUCUCUGAUGUUUUAAAAGACCUAGCAAUAGGUAUGCUUAAGGAGGGGCCUGCGGCGCAUUAGUUAGUUGGUGAGGUGAAGGCUUACCAAGACGAUGAUGCGUAGCCGGACUGAGAGGUUGAACGGCCACAUUGGGACUGAGAAACGGCCCAAACUCCUACGGGAGGCAGUGCCAAGGCACACAGGGGAUAGGG
rnacentral:rRNA from 1 species